AGUGAACGCUGGCGGUAGGCCUAACACAUGCAAGUCGAACGGCAGCACAGUAAGAGCUUGCUCUUACGGGUUGCGAGUGGCGGACGUGUGACGAAUAUAUCGUAAUCUACUUUUUCGUGGGGGAUAACGUAGGGAAACUUACUCUAAUACCGCAUACCCCCUUCCGGUGAAAGCAUGGGAUCUUCGCACCUUGCGCGAUUGAAUGAGCGGAUGUCGGAUUAGAUAGUUGGCGGGGUAAAGGCCCACCAAGGCGACGAUCCGUAGCUGGUGUGAGAGGAUGGUAGGCCGCACGGGAGCGGAGACAGGGACAAGACGACUGAGGGAGGGAGCAGUGGGGAAUAUGGGGCAGUAGGGGGGAGCAUGAUACAGCGAGACCGAGUGGGUGAAGAAGGCCUUGGGGUUGUGAAGACCGUUUGUUGGGAAAGAAAAGCAGCAGGUUGAUACCCAGCUGGACUGACGGUACCCAAAAAAGAAGCACCGGCUAACUUCGUG
rnacentral:rRNA from 1 species